rnacentral:rRNA from 1 species
UAAGGAAUAUUGCGCAAUGGGCGACAGCCUGACGCAGCGACGCCGCGUGGGUGAUGAAGGCCUUAGGGUUGUAAAGCUCUUUUACCAGGGAUGAUAAUGACAGUACCUGGAGAAUAAGCUCCGGCUAACUCCGUGCCAGCAGCCGUGGUAAUACGGAGGAGCUAGCGUUGUUCGGAAUUACUGGGCGUAAAGCGUACGUAGGCGGUGACUCAAGUCAGAGGUGAAAGCCUGGAGCUCAACUCCAGAACUGCCUUUGAAACUAGGUCGCUAGAAUCACGGAGAGGUGAGUGGAAUUCCGAGUGUAGAGGUGAAAUUCGUAGAUAUUCGGAAGAACACCAGUGGCGAAGGCGGCUCACUGGACGUGUAUUGACGCUGAGGUACGAAAGCGUGGGAGCAAACAGGAUUAGAUACCCCUGUAGUCCCUGAGCGGGCUGGCAAGGCGCAU